rnacentral:lncRNA from 1 species
AAUCAAAAGAUACAGAGUUCACCUAGAGUUUUUAUCGGCAUUUAGUGUUUCUUGACUGAAAUUACCUUAUAUUAGUAAAAAAAAAAAAAAAAAAAAAGAAAGAAAGAGAAGAAAAUAAAAGAAAUCCAAAUUUGCGUCAGGUCUUCUAGUGGCAAAUCAAAGCAAGUGUUGAACAAUACAGGUCAGGAAGAAAUAAAACAAAAAAUCUGCAAAACAAAAACAGUAUCCCUUUGCCCAAAUAAUUCAGAUUAACAUACACCAGCAUCGCUGGGCGAUUACUCUGUUCCAGGCAGCCGCAGGUGGAUCUUCAUACAAGGCCAGAUUUCUACCACAGUUCAGUCUCAGAGUUUAACACUUCUCUAACAGCCACGUAGAACAGACAUUCUUCAGCUAGGAGUUUGAAGGCUCCCCAGUCGAGCCUCACAAUUGCCCACCCAAUCCUUUCUACCGCUGGGAUGCCCAUGCACCAGCAGUUACCAAGAAAGAAGACACAAACUAUAGCUGCAACACUGAGGGAUCCAGGGAAGGUGAGACCUUUGACAUGGAAGCUAGAGCUGAGUUGGCCAAAGAAACCUGGGGAGAAGGACCACGAAGCCCCAGGUGGGUAGCACCACGUAAGUGGAAAUCCACCACCACAUGUGCCACUACACACAGCUCAUAGAUUCCUUUUGUUUUCUUUUUCAGUGGACACUGAGUAAAUUUAUAUUUUCUUGUACAG